AGAGUUUGAUCCUGGCUCAGGAUGAACGCUAGCUACAGGCUUAACACAUGCAAGUCGAGGGGAAACGACAUCGAAAGCUUGCUUUUGAUGGGCGUCGACCGGCGCACGGGUGAGUAACGCGUAUCCAACCUGCCCAUCACUUGGGGAUAACCUUGCGAAAGUAAGACUAAUACCCAAUGACGUCUCUAGAAGACAUCUGAAAGAGAUUAAAGAUUUAUCGGUGAUGGAUGGGGAUGCGUCUGAUUAGCUUGGUUGGCGGGGUAACGGCCACCAAGGCGACGAUCAGUAGGGGCUCUGAGAGGAAGUCCCCCANAUUGGAACUGAGACACGGUCAAACUCCUACGGGAGCA
rnacentral:rRNA from 1 species